rnacentral:misc_RNA from 1 species
UGGUUCUGGCAUCGAUGAAGAACGCAGCGAAAUGCGAUAAGUAAUGUGAAUUGCAGAAUUCAGUGAAUCAUCGAAUCUUUGAACGCACAUUGCGCCUAUUAGUAUUCUAGUAGGCAUGCCUGUUCGAGCGUCAUAUAAUCCACUUAAGCCCCGGCUUAGUGUUGGGAAUCUACUCUAGCGGUGCUACCCGUAGCUACCCUGUAGUUCCUCAAAGACAGCGGCGGGAUCAUGGUGUCCUCUAGGCUUAGUAACUCAACUAGCUUUGGAGGAGGCCUCGAUCUCUGCCGUAAAACCCCCAUCUUUUUAUGGUUGACCUCGGAUCAGGUAGGAAUACCCGCUGA